CCACCACCGUCUACUCGGCCACAACGCUCACGGCGUAACAACAGAAACUCAUCUCGCCUUCUUUCCGCCUUCUUUGUCAAGGAUGCCCCUCACAAGUCACAACCGGAAACUGCAACCAAAUUUUGAAUAAUUCACCGGUUCAAACGGUCCAAAAAGCGUCUCGUGCCUUACGAGAGGAACUAGAGGAGAAUAAAGAUAAUAGUUAGUGAAAUAAAGUAAUGGCCUGAAAUUAAUAUCUUAACAAUGACCUGAAAUCUACAGCAGAUAGAGAAAUAAAAUACGGAGUACUACGUAACCAAGAUAGUUAAUACCCUUGGUAAUACCCUCUCCCUAAAAAUUCCACAGCAUAAUUUUACCGUGGCCUUUAUAUUAUAAUAAUUCAAAUUUUGUAUUGUGUGAAAUAAGAAAUAAAACUAUGUGGUUGGAUUCUUACGGUGUAAAACUUUAUGUUUGGACAUUGUUUGGGAAUAAAUUUUUUCUACUUAUUUAAUAUCAAGAAGUGUGAUAUAAGCUAUACCCACCUUGUUUUUUCUUAAACAAACAUUAAAUAUGGAUUUUUAGACCAACAACACAUGUCAAAACAAACCAAAAAAAAAAAAAAAAAAAAA